UACGUAGGGUGCAAGCGUUGUCCGGAAUUAUUGGGCGUAAAGAGCUCGUAGGUGGCCUGUCGCGUCGGCUGUGAAAACCCGGGGCUCAACUCCGAGCUUGCAGUCGAUACGGGCAGGCUAGAGUUCGGCAGGGGAGACUGGAAUUCCUGGUGUAGCGGUGAAAUGCGCAGAUAUCAGGAGGAACACCGGUGGCGAAGGCGGGUCUCUGGGCCGAUACUGACACUGAGGAGCGAAAGCGUGGGGAGCGAACAGG
rnacentral:rRNA from 1 species